AUCUGCCUCCAGCACAAAGCGAUAAAACCAAGGAAGAAAAGGACCAUUUGCCUCCAGCAGAAAGCGAUAAAAGCAAGGAAGUAAAGGAGCAUUCUUCUGACAAAGCCAAGAACGAAAAGG